rnacentral:rRNA from 1 species
UACGAGAGGCCCAAACGUUAUUCGGAUUCACUGGGCGUAAAGGGUGCGCAGGCGGCCGAGUGUGUGAGGCGUGAAAGCCCGGGGCUUAACCCCGGAAUUGCACCUCAAACUACACGGCUAGAGCAUUGGAGAGGGUAGCAGAAUUCAUGGUGUAGCAGUGAAAUGCGUAGAUAUCAUGAGGAAUACCAGAGGCGAAGGCGGCUACCUGGACAAUUGCUGACGCUCAGGCACGAAAGCGUGGGGAGCAAAAGGG